AACGAACGCUGGCGGCAGGCCUAACACAUGCAAGUCGAACGCGUGUAGCAAUACACGAGUGACGCACGGGUGAGUAACACGUGGGAAUCAACCCAGAGGUUCGGAAUAACCGCGGGAAACUGCGGCUAAUACCGGAUAUCCCCUACGGGGGCAAGAUUUAUCGCCUUUGGACGAGCCCGCGUCCGAUUAGCUAGUUGGUGAGGUAACGGCUCACCAAGGCUACGAUCGGUAGCUGGUCUGAGAGGAUGACCAGCCACACUGGAACUGAGAUACGGUCCAGACUCCUACGGGAGGCAGCAGUGGGGAAUAUUGGGCAAUGGAGGCAACUCUGACCCAGCCAUGCCGCGUGGGUGACGAAGGUCUUCGGAUUGUAAAGCCCUUUCGGCGGGGACGAUGAUGACGGUACCCGCAGAAGAAGCCCCGGCUAACUUCGUGCCAGCCGCCGCCGUAAGAC
rnacentral:rRNA from 1 species